AGAGCCAGUGAGGUAGGGCAUGUGAGGGUGAGGUAGGGCCUGUGUGGUUAGGCCCAGUGAGGUAGGUACUGUGGGGUUAGGCCCAGUGAGGUAGGGCUUGUGGGGGUGAGAUAGGGCCUGUGGGGUUAGGCCCAGUGAGGUAGGUACUUUAGGGUUAGGCCCAGUAAGGUAUGGCCUGUGGGGGUGAGGUAGGGCCAGUGGGGUUAGGCCCAGUGAGGUAGGUACUUUGGGGUUAGGCCCAGUAAGGUAUGGCCUGUGGGGGUGAGGUAGGGCCAGUGGGGUAAGUGCCAGAUGGGUAAGGGCCAGUAGGGUUAUGGGCCAGUGGAGUUAGGACCAGUGGGAUUAUGGGCCAGUGGGGUUAUGGGCCAGUGGUGUUAUGACAAGUGGGAUUAUGGGCCAGUGGUGUUAUGACAAGUGGGAUUAUGGGCCAGUGGGAUUAUGGGCCAGUGGGGUUAUGGGCCAGUAGGGUUAUGGGCCAGUGGGGUUAUGGGCCAGUGGGGUUAGGACCAGUAGGGUUGUGGAGUACUGCUCCUUGAAGGCUCGGUGACCACGCCCUGGUCUGUGUGAAUGUUUUCUACCUUUUUAAGAGGAUAUUGAUGAGGGCUAUAGGCUACUGUGCUCUCUGUUAAAUCAUUCUGACCCUAGCUUUGUAUCUCAGGGGUAGGAUCAUGUUACAGGGAUAGUUAUCUAAUAGUUGGUUGCACCAGAUGUUUUAUGUAAUACCCUCUCUACCCAUGAGAGAGAAAUGAACAUCCCUCCCCAAAAAAGAAAGUACAAAACAGGCUGUGUUUUUAGUUAGUUGGUUUGUUGUGAUUGGCUGUGGCGGG
rnacentral:lncRNA from 1 species